UACAGAGGUCUCAAGCGUUGUUCGGAUUCAUUGGGCGUAAAGGGUGUGUAGGUGGCGCGCUAAGUCGGGUGUGAAAUUUCGGAGCUUAACUCCGAAACUGCAUUCGAUACUGGCGUGCUUGAGGACUGGAGAGGGGACUGGAAUUUACGGUGUAGCGGUGAAAUGCGUAGAUAUCGUAAGGAAGACCAGUGGCGAAGGCGGGUCUCUGGACAGUUCUUGACGCUGAGGCACGAAGGUCAGGGGAGCAAACGGG
rnacentral:rRNA from 1 species